CCUAGAGUUGUAGGCUUUGCCUGCUAUCUCUUACCCAUGUCUUUGAGUACUUACGUUUCCUCGGCGGGUCCGCCCGCCGAUUGGACAAUUUAAACCAUUUGCAGUUGCAAUCAGCGUCUGAAAAACUUAAUAGUUA
rnacentral:misc_RNA from 1 species